rnacentral:lncRNA from 10 species
CGCCUGUCGGUGCCUGAAGUGGGGCAUCUUCAAUGGCUGCUGUGUCACUCUGUUGCCGUUUUAACUUGGGUGUUUUCUACAUUACCAGGAACUGGUCAGCGUUCUAAUUUGGUGUUCCAUGUUCGGGGUUUGAUGGAGUUUCCGGAGUUUCACUCUUGCCCAAGCUAGAGUGCAGUGGCGUGACCUUGGCUCACUGCAACCUCCGCCUCCCGGGUUCAAGAGAUUCUCCUGCCUCAGCCUCCCGAGUAGCUGGG